rnacentral:rRNA from 1 species
CAUGCAAGUCGAACGGUAGCACAGAGAGCUUGCUCUCGGGUGACGAGUGGCGGACGGGUGAGUAAUGUCUGGGAAACUGCCUGAUGGAGGGGGAUAACUACUGGAAACGGUAGCUAAUACCGCAUAACGUCGCAAGACCAAAGAGGGGGACCUUCGGGCCUCUUGCCAUCAGAUGUGCCCAGAUGGGAUUAGCUAGUAGGUGGGGUAACGGCUCACCUAGGCGACGAUCCCUAGCUGGUCUGAGAGGAUGACCAGCCACACUGGAACUGAGACACGGUCCAGACUCCUACGGGAGGCAGCAGUGGGGAAUAUUGCACAAUGGGCGCAAGCCUGAUGCAGCCAUGCCGCGUGUAUGAAGAAGGCCUUCGGGUUGUAAAGUACUUUCAGCGGGGAGGAAGGGGAUAAGGUUAAUAACCUUGUUCAUUGACGUUACCCGCAGAAGAAGCACCGGCUAACUCCGUGCCAGCAGCCGCGGUAAUACGGAGGGUGCAAGCGUUAAUCGGAAUUACUGGGCGUAAAGCGCACGCAGGCGGUCUGUCAAGUCGGAUGUGAAAUCCCCGGGCUCAACCUGGGAACUGCAUUCGAAACUGGCAGGCUGGAGUCUUGUAGAGGGGGGUAGAAUUCCAGGUGUAGCGGUGAAAUGCGUAGAGAUCUGGAGGAAUACCGGUGGCGAAGGCGGCCCCCUGGACAAAGACUGACGCUCAGGUGCGAAAGCGUGGGGAGCAAACAGGAUUNNAUACCCUGGUAGUCCACGCUGUAAACGAUGUCGACUUGGAGGUUGUUCCCUUGAGGAGUGGCUUCCGGAGCUAACGCGUUAAGUCGACCGCCUGGGGAGUACGGCCGCAAGGUUAAAACUCAAAUGAAUUGACGGGGGCCCGCACAAGCGGUGGAGCAUGUGGUUUAAUUCGAUGCAACGCGAAGAACCUUACCUACUCUUGACAUCCANNGAACUUAGCAGAGAUGCUUUGGUGCCUUNGGNAACGAGACAGGUGCUGCAUGGNUGNCGNCAGNNCGUGUUGUGAAAUGUUGAGUCCCGAAGCGCCUUAUUUUUGNCAGCGCGGCGGGACUAACUGCGAUAACUGGUGGGUGUCAGUCAUCAUUGUCGGUAUGCCUAAAGGGGA